rnacentral:sRNA from 1 species
CCUGUGCGGUGGCGCACACCUGUAAUUCCAGUGGCUCGGGAGGUUGAGGCAGGAGGAUCGUGAGUUUGAGGCCAGCCUCAGCAACUUAUUGAGGCCUUAAUCAACUUAGAGAGACCCUGUCUCAA